rfam:Schistosoma haematobium scaffold183_2, whole genome shotgun sequence.
GUCCAGCUGAUGAGUCCUAAGUAGGACGAAACGCGCGUCAAACUGGAU